GUGGAAAGCUGAAUGAUCGCAUCAUUUUGAUGAGGAAAGUCCGGACUCCAAGGAGUAAUGGUGCCGGGUAACACCCGGCCGGGGUAACCCGAGGGAAAGCGCAACAGAAAAUAUACCGCUCGUAUGUGAGUAAGGGUGAAAUGGUAAGGUAAGAGCUUACCGCUUGCUUGGUAACAGGCAGGGCAUUGCAAGCCCCACCAGGAGAAAGACCAAAUAGGAACCGUUCGAACUUUAGGGUUCGAUAUCUCCUAAAUGUAGCGGUUCGGGUAGGUCGCUUGAUCCAGUUGGAAACAACUGGGCUAGAUGAAUGGUCAUUGAGCUUAACGGCUUACAAAAUCCGGCUUACAAGCUUUCCACAACU
rnacentral:RNase_P_RNA from 1 species